GAUGAAGAACGCAGCGAAAUGCGAUAAGUAAUGUGAAUUGCAGAAUUCAGUGAAUCAUCGAAUCUUUGAACGCACCUUGCGCCCCUUGGUUAUUCCAAAGGGCAUGCCUGUUUGAGUAUCAUGAACACCUCAACUCUUGUGGUUUCCCACAAUGAGCUUGGACUGUGGAGGUUUUGUUGGCCCUGUGGUCAGCUCCUCUCAAAUGGAUCAGCUUACCGGUGUUUGGUGGCAUUACGGGUGUGAUAACUAUCUACGCUCGUGGUCGUCUCCAAAUAACCUCCAGUGAUGGAGGUUCGCUGGAGCUUAUAAAUGUCUCUCCCCAGUGAGGACAGCCUUUGAACGUUCGAUCUCAAAUCAGGUAGGACUACCCGCUGAACUUAAGCAUAUCAAUAAGCGGAGGA
rnacentral:misc_RNA from 1 species